GAGAAGUAGAGGACAGUGGCGGACGGGUGAGUAACGCGUGAGGAACCUGCCUUUCAGAGGGGGACAACAGUUGGAAACGACUGCUAAUACCGCAUGACACAUUGGGGUCGCAUGGCCUCGAUGUCAAAGAUUUAUCGCUGAAAGAUGGCCUCGCGUCUGAUUAGCUAGUUGGUGAGGUAACGGCCCACCAAGGCGACGAUCAGUAGCCGGACUGAGAGGUUGACCGGCCACAUUGGGACUGAGAUACGGCCCAGACUCCUACGGGAGGCAGCAGUGGGGAAUAUUGGGCAAUGGGCGCAAGCCUGACCCAGCAACGCCGCGUGAAGGAAGAAGGCUUUCGGGUUGUAAACUUCUUUUGUCAGGGACGAGUAGAAGACGGUACCUGACGAAUAAGCCACGGCUAACUACGUGCCAGCAGCCGCGGUAAUACGUAGGUGGCAAGCGUUGUCCGGAUUUACUGGGUGUAAAGGGCGUGUAGCCGGGAAGGCAAGUCAGAUGUGAAAUCCACGGGCUCAACUCGUGAACUGCAUUUGAAACUGUUUUUCUUGAGUAUCGGAGAGGCAAUCGGAAUUCCUAGUGUAGCGGUGAAAUGCGUAGAUAUUAGGAGGAACACCAGUGGCGAAGGCGGAUUGCUGGAC
rnacentral:rRNA from 1 species